rnacentral:lncRNA from 1 species
AACUUUGUCAUCCCUGGAGGGGUCUGCAAUAAUUGGGUCGUUGUUGAUAUUCUAACAGUUCUCCAUAAGUCAAAGUAAUGUUCAUUGUGUUUAAACACCCUUCUCCCAUGCCGAAAGGAGGAGUGAUUACAUUGUUGGCUCAUAAAUACAAUGAUAUUUUCAUCCAAUAAAUUCAUGUUAAAUGUUUGUUUUUCCAAUUAU